UGGGGAAUUUUGGACAAUGGGCGAAAGCCUGAUCCAGCAAUGCCGCGUGUGUGAAGAAGGCCUUCGGGUUGUAAAGCACUUUUGUCCGGAAAGAAAUCCUUGGCUCUAAUACAGUCGGGGGAUGACGGUACCGGAAGAAUAAGCACCGGCUAACUACGUGCCAGCAGCCGCGGUAAUACGUAGGGUGCAAGCGUUAAUCGGAAUUACUGGGCGUAAAGCGUGCGCAGGCGGUUUGCUAAGACCGAUGUGAAAUCCCCGGGCUCAACCUGGGAACUGCAUUGGUGGCUGGCAGGCUAGAGUAUGGCAGAGGGGGGCUAGAAUUCCACGUGUAGCAGUGAAAUGCGUAGAGAUGUGGAGGAAUACCGAUGGCGAAGGCAGCCCCCUGGGCCAAUACUGACGCUCAUGCACGAAAGCGUGGGGAGCAAACAGGAUUAGAUACCCUGGUAGUCCACGCCCUAAACGAUGUCAACUAGUUGUUGGGGAUUCAUUUCCUUAGUAACGUAGCUAACGCGUGAAGUUGACCGCCUGGGGAGUACGGUCGCAAGAUUAAAACUUAAAGGAAUUGACGGGGUCAUAGCUGUUUCCU
rnacentral:rRNA from 1 species